rnacentral:rRNA from 1 species
GACGAACGCUGGCGGCGUGCUUAACACAUGCAAGUCGAACGGAAAGGCCCUGCUUUUGUGGGGUGCUCGAGUGGCGAACGGGUGAGUAACACGUGAGUAACCUGCCCUUGACUUUGGUAUAACUUCAGGAAACUGGGGCUAAUACCGGAUAUGAGCUCCUGCUGCAUGGUGUUGGUUUGAAUGUUUCGGCGGUUGUGGAUGGACUCGCUGCUUAUCAGCUUUUUUGUUGGGUAGUGGCUUACCAAGGCUUUGACGGGUAGCCGGCCUGAGAGGGUGACCGGCCAAAAUGGGACUGAGAGACGGCCCAGAAUGCUACGGGAGGCAGCAGUGGGGAAUAUUGCACAAUGGGAGGAAGCAUGAUGAAGAAACGCAGCGAGCGGGAUGACGGCAUUCGGGUUGUAAAAAGAUUUGGAAUGUGACGAAGCGUGAGUGACGGUAAUGGGUAAAGAAGCACCGGCUAACUACGUG